CCAAACCACCGCACACCCUCAUAACAGCGACAACAAAAAAAUAAAGCUCAAGCUGGAGUAUGGUCUUUUAUUUUAAAAAAUAUCCCAACAAAAAACAAACAACCAACUUCGUUCCCCAACUCUUCCCACCCCCUCCCUUGCAGAGUGAGAUUGUUUUGUCUGGAAAAAAAUCCAAAGUAUAACAAGGGGAGAACAGUUAGUGCUGAUUUUCAUUUGCAUAAAUUUUCAUAUAUUUUGGUGAAAAUAAUAGACUAGUGGAGAGCGGGGCUUAGUGGAGUCAGUGCAAAGGAAAAUCUUAACAUGGAUCGUUUCGCUGGAGUUGAGAACAUGCUUUUUCCCCCCUGUCACCUUAUUAAAAUCAAAAAUUAAAAAAAAUUUCUCUAAAUCCUGGGAGUUUGAUCGGCGUCUGCCCCUGAUUUUAAUCCAAAGGAGCUGCUUUUGGAACUGGUGUGUCCGGCUUUGGUGUAUGCCCGCUGAGGAAGAGGCCCACUCUUUUCUCCAGUCUUGGUGUGUGGAUUUCUCUCUCUCCAAGUAAUUCCUCAGCAUACCCUUGAAUGGCAUCUACCACACGUGCUAUGUGACAGAUCCACACAAACAACAGAGGGGAAAGAGCCUCACUUAACUGAUUAGAGAAGAGAAGCAGUGAAAGGGAAUAUGCACAAAGCACUGCCAAAUUCACAGAGCAAAGGAAAAGAUAAAAAAUAGAAUAAUUUCACCAGCCUUUUUUUUUCUCCAUUGAGUAAUGUAAGGUAUUUUUUAUACUAGCACCAGGGAAAGAAUUUUCAGGAAAAAAUGUGAUUUCUUAAUUAAGGAUGUCUAAUUCAAAAUAUAUUCAUUUAAUAAAGACAUUAUGAUAGAAGCAACUACUCAUUCAUAUCAAUAAUUCAUUCAGAAGUAAACAAUAUCAACAUAUUAGCAUUUAUUUUUCCAUUUAGUAGGUUGUGAUUUAAAAUAAAUCUAAAUCAUCAUAAUCAUUCUGCUCCAUAUGCUGGGAAAGAAAAAGUCACCUUAAACCAGAUGCAUAUUGUGAAAAAAAAGGAAAAAAAAGAAAAAGAGGAAGACAAGUUGUUCUAAAGAAACAGCAUAUGGGAGAAAAUCUUAAGCCUCAGUAAAGAUGCUCUGCUUUGUAGAUGGCAAUUUAGUUUUGAACUGAAAGAGGGUAUGUUUAGAUUGGAUAUUAGGAAGAAAUCCUUCACUGAGAAGCUGGCGAGGCACUGGAACAGGUUGUCCAGAGAAGCUGUGGAUACUCUAUCUCUGGAAUUGUUUAAGGCCAAGUUAGAUGGGACUUUGAGCAUCCUGGUCUAGUGGAAGGUGUCCCUGUGCAAGGCAGAGGAGUUGGACUAGUUGGUCUUUAAAGUCCCUUCCAACCCAAACAAUUCUGUGAUUCUAGAAUUCCGUGAUAACUAUGAUUCUAUGAUAGCAAAGCUGAGUUAUGCCAAACAAGAUUCUGGUCAAUAAUUUUCAAGAGCUAGAAGUCAAAUACUGAUUUCUUUCUUUUAGAAAAUUAAGAAAAAAAAGGGAUUUCUGUAAUUUCCUUUUAAUCAGGAAAAAGCAAUAAAUGUGAUCAAGAAAAAUUCAAGUUUGAAGAUGCUGAUGUAUGGAAACAAUAGGCUGUUUGCAAAUCCUUAUGUAUGGAAACAAUAGGCUGUUUACAAGUUCCAAGUUGGCUCUGCACGUGUACCUGCCUGUGUGCUUGGAGCUGCAUUUAUUUUUCCUGUUGCUAAUUACAUAGCCAAUGCCUCUCCUAACUUGUACCCUUAACUACCCACAUCAUUUUGUCAGCUGACAGCUCUUUUUCAGCUCCCAAACACAUCAGCACUCCUGAAGCAAGCUCUGUUAAAAACUUUCAUUUCUGUCCCUGUCUGAAGUCCAGAGAGUGGCGUUUGGAGCCUGUGGAUCAGGGCUGUAUUUCGAAUUUUUUUACUUUUGACAUACUGAAAAGGGAAUGAAGGGCUCAAGGCCUGGUCAGCCUGUGCUUCUCUGCUACAGCAUCUUGAGAAGUUUGUGUAGGUCUCCUCUUAUCGCUUUUUCUGUUUUUGCUUUCAGUAGGUGAGGCCAGAUGCUGUGGUGGGGAGUGGGGUGUCAGCACUCUGCCUUUUCUGCUCCCACCUCCAAGGCAGCACUGACAGCACACUCUUUGGGCCUCAGUGCAGCCAUAGGGCCCUCUUGUCCUUGGAUGAGCUCAGCAAAGCCCUUUCUCUCCCCCAGACAGAGAGCUCUGUAUUCUGUCUGGGAAAAUAUGACUGUGCAUCCCUUCUUCCCCAGAAUUCCAGCAGUGAUGAUCUCGGGGGCCUCUCAAAGUGGUGGCUGCAGUUGCAAUGCUGUGAGCAUUGCAGGUUAACUCUGCAAAGAGGUGUUUUCUUAGCCUCUCAGGAAAUUGGGAGCAGAAGAAGGAAGCAGGAUGAAGAGAAUAGUGAAAAAGGGAGAGAGAGAGGCCUCCCAAAG